rnacentral:rRNA from 1 species
AAACGGGUGGGACCUCGAAGUCCUGCGGCGGGAGGAUUCAGCACCGAGACAUUGGGAAAGGUGCCGGUGGGAGAAGGCGCGAGUCAGCGUCUCCCCUCGCGGCGCGGAUCCCGCAAUAGAGCGGUGCGCACUUCCCUCCCGUCCAGAGGACUCCGCAGCCGGUUGGAACGUGGAUAGCGGGCAGCUCCCUCUAACCAAACUGUGGGCCAGGCGACCUUUACUGGGCGGCUCGGUACCAAAAGACGGAGGGACGCCCGCUUUCCGACCGGAGUCAGAAGGGGCCCGGUCUUGGGCCCCGGAGCAAAACUCUCUGCUUAGGGCGCGGGGGACAAACCCCUCCGGUGAUCCGAGCGGGUCGCGCCAGCCAACCUGUGCGGGCCGCGCACGGACCCGGAGUUCCCAGAACAAAACCGCGACGAGGGCAGAGGCUCGCGGAGAGUAGGUCGGUAACCCACCCGACCCGUCUUGAAACACGGACCAAGGAGUCUAACAUGUGCGCGAGUCGCCGGGACUUUGAACAGGCCCGGAGGCGCAAUGAAAGUGAGGAAGUCAUGGAUUGUUUCCAACCCGUGAUCCCGUCCUUCAACGGAUGGGCGCAGCGGGGGCCCGUCACACGGUCACUUGUGAUCCGACGGAGCUGGAGCGUACACGUUUGGGACCCGAAAGAUGGUGAACUAUGCACGGGCAGGUUGAGGACAGAGGAAACUCUGUUGGAGGACCGCCGCGGUUCUGACGUGCAAAUCGAUCGUCAGAUCUGUGUAUAGGGGUGAAAGGCCAAUCGAACCAUCUAGUAGCUGGUUCCCUCCGAAGUUUCCCUCAGGAUAGCUGGCACUCAAUUCAAAUCAGUCUCAUCCCGUAAAGCGAAUGAUUAGAGGCCUGGGGCCGAAACGUCCUCAACCUAUUCUCAAACUUAAAAUGGGUGAGAAACCGCCCUACUCGAACCUUGCCGAGGACGGAGCUCGGAUGAGAGUGCUCAGUGGGCCACUUUUGGUAAGCAGAACUGGCGCUGUGGGAUGAACCAAACGCCGGGUUACGGUGACCGAUGCGAGACGCACAUAAGAACCCAUGAAAGGUGUUGGUUGCUCCAGACAGCAGGACGGUGGCCACGGAGGUCGGUACCCGCCAAGGAGUGUGUAAUAACUCACCUGCCGAAGCAACUAGCCCUGAAAAUGGAUGUCUCUCCAGCGUCGAACCGAUACCCGGCCGCCGGCACAGAAUCUCGGACAAGAGUCUGAUGCGCCGGUGAGUAGGAGGGCCGCCGCGGGAGGCGUUGAAGGUGUCGAGCGUGAGAUCGCCUGGAGCUCCCGCGGGCGCAGAUCUUGGUGGCAGUAGCAAAUACUCAAGUGAGAUCCUUGAGGACUGAAGACGGAGUAGGGUUCCAUGUGAACAGCAGUUGAACAUGGGUCAGUCGGUCCUAAGGGAUCGGACAAUUCCGUUCCGAAGGGGGGCAUUACCUCGCCCCUCCGUCGAUCCGAACGGAAAUGGGGUUAACAUUCCCCAACCCGGACACGGAGAGAGGGGCCUCGCGCCUCCAAAGCGGCAACGCAAACGACCUCGCAGACGGUGGCUGAGGGUCCGGGGAAGAGUUGUCUUUUCUUCGUAAGGGUUGCGCUCCAUGGAAAGGGUUCGCCCCGAGAUAUGGAGGGUCUUCCCGUAAGAGCAGCGCGUCUCUUGCGCUGUCCGGUCCCCCUCUGUCGCCCCUUGAAAAUGCGAGGGAGAGAGUGUGAUUUUCGUGCCGGACCGUACCCACAUCCGCAGCAGGUUUUCAAGGUGAACAGCCUUUAGUCGAUA